AACGUAGGAGGCAAGCGUUAUCCGGAGUUACUGGGCGUAAAGAGUGCGUAGGCGGAUGAGUAAGUGGGUGGUGAAAGCGCCCGGCUAAACCGGGCGAGGUCCAUUCAGACUGCUUGUCUAGAGGCGGAUAGAGGGGUGCGGAAUUCCGGGUGUAGCGGUGAAAUGUGUAGAGAUCCGGAAGAACACCGGUGGCGAAGGCGGUUAGCUGGGGUCGAACUGACGCUGAGGCGCGACAGCGUGGGGAGCAAACAGG
rnacentral:rRNA from 1 species